AGGACAAAAAAUAUUGCCUUGAGAAGUCACUCGCUGUGCCAUUGAUUGGCCCAUGACUCAGCAGAGAGUCCACAGAUACACAUUUUGGAUGUGCUGCCUGGAGAUGAUGCAAGUGCUGUCAAGUUUCCCAACCUGGAUUUUAUUUCCUUCAUGAUGAGAAAUAGAAGUACAUAAUUUGGCAGAGAGAAAAGUGAUUAUCCUGUUGGUUAAGAGGAAAAUGUUUUAGUGAUAUGAAAAAUAAAAAAAUCACUACAAA